CUUAACACAUGCAAGUCGUACGAGAACUCUUUAGCUUGCUAAAGAUAGUAAAGUGGCGCACGGGUGAGUAACGCGUGGGUAAUCUACCUUCGAAUCGGGGAUAACAUUGCGAAAGCGAUGCUAAUACCGGAUAAUAUCUCAAAAUCGUCAGGUUUUGAGAUCAAAAAUGGCCUCUACAUGUAAGCUGUUGUUUGGAGAUGAGCCCGCGUACCAUUAGCUUGUUGGUAGGGUAAUGGCCUACCAAGGCAACGAUGGUUAGCUGGUCUGAGAGGAUGAUCAGCCACACUGGAACUGACACACGGUCCAGACUCCUACGGGAGGCAGCAGUGAGGAAUUUUGCGCAAUGGGGGAAACCCUGACGCAGCAACGCCGCGUGAGUGAUGAAGGCCCUCGGGUCGUAAAGCUCUGUCAAGUGGGAAGAAAAUGUAAAAUGUUAAUACCAUUUUUCACUGACGGUACCACUGAAGGAAGCACCGGCUAACUCCGUGCCAGCAGCCGCGGUAAUACGGAGGGUGCAAGCGUUAUUCGGAAUUAUUGGGCGUAAAGGGCGCGUAGGCGGCCUUUUAAGUCAGAUGUGAAAGCCCGGGGCUUAACCCCGGAAGUGCAUUUGAAACUAAAAGGCUUGAGUAUGGGAGAGGGAAGUGGAAUUCCUGGUGUAGCGGUGAAAUGCGUAGAUAUCAGGAGGAACACCGGUGGCGAAGGCGACUUCCUGGACCAAUACUGACGCUAAGGCGCGAAGGCGUGGGUAGCAAACAGGAUUAGAUACCCUGGUAGUCCACGCAGUAAACGGUGAACACUAGGUGUAGCGGGUAUUGACCCCUGCUGUGCCGCAGCUAACGCAUUAAGUGUUCCGCCUGGGGAGUACGGUCGCAAGAUUAAAACUCAAAGGAAUUGAC
rnacentral:rRNA from 1 species